rnacentral:rRNA from 1 species
UCACCGGCACCUUGCUCCACCGAAAGGAAGAGGAGUGGCGAGCGGGUGAGUAAGCCGGGGGUAGCCUGCCCAUCUUAAGGGGAGAACGCUUGGAAACCGGUGCUAAUACCGUAUAACACUAGUUUCCGCAUGGAAUAAAGUUGAACAGGCGCUUUUGCGUCACUGUAUGGAUGGACCCGCGGUGCAGUAGCUAGUUGGUGAGGUAACGGCUCAGCNAGGCAACGAUGCAUAGCCAACCUGAAAGGGUGAUCGGCCCCACAGGCACUGAGACACGGCCCAUACUCCUACUGGAGGCAUCAGUAAGGAAUCUUCCGCACUGGACCAAAUUCUGACCGAGCGACUCCGCAUGAGUGAACAAUGUUUUCUGAUCGUAAAGCUCUGUUGUUAAAAAAUAGCAGGGAUGACAUUAAAAUGUUCAUCCCUUGACGGUAUCUAACCAGAAAGCCACGGCUAACUACGUGCCAGCAGCCGCGGUAAUACGUAUGUGGCAACCGUUGUCCGGAUUUAUUGGGCGUAAAGCGAGCGCAGGCGGUUUCUUAAGUCUGAUGUGAAAGCCCCCGGCUCAACCGGGGAGGGUCAUUGGAAACUGGGUAGACUU